AUUGAACGCUGGCGGCAUGCCUUACACAUGCAAGUCGAACGGCAGCACGGGAGCAAUCCUGGUGGCGAGUGGCGAACGGGUGAGUAAUAUAUCGGAACGUGCCCAGUCGUGGGGGAUAACGUAGCGAAAGCUACGCUAAUACCGCAUACGAUCUAUGGAUGAAAGCGGGGGAUCGCAAGACCUCGCGCGAUUGGAGCGGCCGAUAUCAGAUUAGGUAGUUGGUGGGGUAAAAGCCUACCAAGCCUUCGAUCUGUAGCUGGUCUGAGAGGACGACCAGCCACACUGGAACUGAGACACGGUCCAGACUCCUACGGGAGGCAGCAGUGGGGAAUUUUGGACAAUGGGCGCAAGCCUGAUCCAGCAAUGCCGCGUGCAGGAUGAAGGCCUUCGGGUUGUAAACUACUUUUGUACGGAACGAAACGGCUCUUUCUAAUAAAGAGAGCUAAUGACGGUACCGUAAGAAUAAGCACCGGCUAACUACGUG
rnacentral:rRNA from 1 species